rnacentral:lncRNA from 1 species
UUCAAAACUGGACUUAUUUCAGCUCUUGAAACUACAACGCACUCUCAACAAGAAAUUUGGCUUUUAGAUGUAGCCACACAACACACAAAUGAAAGGUUUGGAAAGGAGAUUCUCCCUUGGCAGUACAAGGUUGGAGAGUCUUUUAGACCACCACCACUUAAGAUGCUACCAAGCACACAAACCUUCUUUCAAAUUCCAAAAAUCCAGAGUGAAACAACUUCUCAAGUAAUAAAUGGCUAGGCUAAAGCAAUGGGCAGAUAGAACAGGCAGGAGAAGCAAUGACAACACAACAUAUCAGAUUACUCUAGACAGAAUCUAGAUUAGAUCAUAAAAGCAAAGAAAAGAUCCAAAUUAUGGAAAGCAGGUAGAUUUCACAUGUGAUGGACAAAACUAGAUUUAGCAAUCAAGACAAGAAAGAAAAAGGGAACUUAGAAAGCUGGCACUCAAAUAGAACCUAUGAAUAGCUCUAGAACAGAUUAAAACACAAGAAAAUAAAAACUAGUUGAAUCAUACAUGACCAAAUAGAUUUGCAACUAAAAUAGAACAAUGCAUUGCCAAUUGCUCUAAAAUGUUCACUCCAAUCAAAUUAAAUGAACCAAAAACAGGAGAGAAACAUCAAGAGUGAAACUUUGUUGUGAAUUGAACUUACCACUUUUCUCUUUAUGUGGUUCAAUCAAUACUUCUUUUCUAAUUACUUUUUCUUUUCAAAUCACAAGAACUCAUGCUUUUAUACUUUCACUUUCUUUUGCUACAAUUCACAACAUGUAAUUUGAUUUCUAUUCCAAUUCAACUUCACAAGAUGAGUCAUGAACAAUUGAUUCAACACAAAGAAAACUACAAAAUUUUUAAAAACACCAAAUGCAAGACACAAAUGACUCUAGGAAGUGAAUACACAGAAUUCCAGCAAUGAUCUACUACUGAAAUGAACAAAAAUAAAGCAAAUGACUCAAGCAAGGAAAUAUGUUGUUCGCCCUACUGGUUGCAAGUAAUUUUUUCUGUAACUUUCACACUAACAACUAAGCUAAUGUUGAUCAUAUCACGACUUUUCUGGUUAGGGCACUUUGUUACUAGUAAUCUCAGCAUUCCCGCUCAAUUUAAAAAAUCGCAGAAUAGAUUCAAUGUUCAAUGUUCAGAAUCAACAUCUUAUUAAAACCAGAAUUUCACAACAAAAUUCAAAUCAGAUAUGAUGCUCAUUUCAUGCAUCCGAGCUCUUAGUAUUGAAUGUCAUAGCUCAAACGGUAUGCACAUUGAACAUAUAUUCAGAUCACCACAAGCAAAACUCAAAUAAGAAGUAUAACUUGAAGUUAUGAACAAGAAAAUCAAGUAACAUGACUAUGACAAAACAGAAUUGGAAUUCAAAAUUAAAAUGACACAAAAGAAGAAAUAGACCGAAUUAAAAUGAUAAAAAAAACACUGACUCAAGGCAUAGAACGACUCAACACACAAUAUCGAAACCUAAAAGCGGACAACAAAUAGAACAAGAGAGACUGAAUCAAUAACUCAAAUAAGGAUAACAAUUCAAGACAAUAUAGAAAUGUAAUGAACAACUCGUAAGUGAAGAACUCAGAAUAGUGAAACAACACAUACCGAAUAAGAAUCAAGUCAAAACAAGAUGAAUCAACAUUACACAACUCAAAUAGAGAAACGAAACAACAUAGAUCGAGAAAAAAAAUUAAGAGCAGAGAUCACGCUACUUAUCUCUUGACGCGUGGUCGAACCUUGCUUUGAAUACCACUUAAUGGAAGAAUGCUCUGUGAGGAUGACCGUAGGUUUGACGUGAACUCCUCGAAGCUUCCUCCGAAUGAGAAGACGCAAUGGAAAUGAUGUAAACUUUAAGGAAAUCAAAGGAUGAACUUAAGGAAACCCUAAAACCCCAAAUUAAACGGUAGAAAACCCUAAAAUGGUGAGGAAUCACUAAACUGACCGAUUGAUCGGUGGAGAUGGUGUUUUAAAUGGUGAAAAUGGAGGAUCCAAGGGAGGAAACAAUCGGUGAAAAACGAAGAAAAUGAUGAAAAGGUUGAAGAUCCGUGAAGAGAUUAGUCUUAUUGCUGAUGAGGAGGUGAAUCUAUGAAGAGAAAUGGAUUAGAGACGCUGAAAAGGAAAACCCUAGCAGAGGAUGUGAGAAAUUAACUUUUGUUUCGUGGUGGAAGGAGGCGAGAAUGAAAAAUGAGAUGCGUAUGCUUGAGACGUGUGUGUGACGCUAAAGAUGUGUCAGCAGAGGAAUGGCUGAGGCUUGCACGGGAAGCUGAAGAUGUGGCAGAUGAAUUGUGGAGCAGCGUGGAAGAAAGAGAAAUAUGGAGCACCGAGGAAAUGGAAAAUGAGAUAUGAGAGAGGUGCUUGGAAGGUGGCUAGAGGGAGUCUUUGGACUCUUUAGCCUAUGACUUUCAAGAGAGAAUUAUUUUCUGAUUCAGAAAACCUAAUUCUCAUUAAUCUCAAAAGUACCAAUUACAAGAGAGGAGCUGGGUAUUUAUGGUAACCCAUGCUCCUUACAAGCUAAUAUACGUUUACAAUAAAAUGUAAAAAUACGAAAAAGAAAACACUAAGAAGGGUACAUCAGGAAGGAUUCCAUC